rnacentral:rRNA from 1 species
UACGUAGGGUGCGAGCGUUGUCCGGAAUUAUUGGGCGUAAAGAGCUCGUAGGUGGUCCGUCACGUCGGGCGUGAAAAUCCAGGGCUCAACCCUGGACGUGCGCUCGAUACGGGCGGACUAGAGUGCGGUAGGGGCAGAGGGAAUUCCCAGUGUAGCGGUGAAAUGCGUAGAGAUUGGGAAGAACACCGGUGGCGAAAGCGCUCUGCUGGGCCGCAACUGACACUAAUGGACGAAAGCUAGGGGAGCGAAUGGG